rnacentral:rRNA from 1 species
UGGGGAAUAUUGCACAAUGGGCGAAAGCCUGAUGCAGCAACGCCGCGUGAGUGAUGAAGGUCUUCGGAUUGUAAAGCUCUGUCUUUUGGGACGAUAAUGACGGUACCAAAGGAGGAAGCCACGGCUAACUACGUGCCAGCAGCCGCGGUAAUACGUAGGUGGCGAGCGUUGUCCGGAUUUACUGGGCAUAAAGGGUGCGUAGGCGGAUGUUUAAGUGAGAUGUGAAAUACCCGGGCUUAACUUGGGUGCUGCAUUUCAAACUGGAUAUCUAGAGUGCAGGAGAGGAGAAUGGAAUUCCUAGUGUAGCGGUGAAAUGCGUAGAGAUUAGGAAGAACACCAGUGGCGAAGGCGAUUCUCUGGACUGUAACUGACGCUGAGGCACGAAAGCGUGGGUAGCAAACAGGAUUAGAUACCCUGGUAGUCCACGCCGUAAACGAUGAGUACUAGGUGUAGGAGGUAUCGACCCCUUCUGUGCCGCAGUAAAACACAUU